rnacentral:rRNA from 1 species
CCCUUAGAUGUUCUGGGCCGCACGCGCGCUACACUGUUCGACGCAGCGAGUCUUAACCUUGACCGAAAGGUUUGGGUAAUCUUCAGCAAAGUCGAACGUGAUGGGGAUCGAUCAUUGCAAUUAUUGAUCGUGAACGAGGAAUUCCUAGUAAGUGCAAGUCAUCAGCUUGCGCUGAUUACGUCCCUGCCCUUUGUACACACCGCCCGUCGCUCCUACCGAUUGAGCAUCCCGGUGAAGACUCAAGAGAUGUGCGUGCGGCUGGUUUCCAGCUGCGCCGCGCGUCGAAUUUGUCUAAACCUUGAUGCUUAGAGGAAGGAGAAGUCGUAACA